rnacentral:rRNA from 1 species
AACGUACGCUGGCGGCACGCCUAAUACAUGCAAGUCGAACGAAGUAGCAAUACUUAGUGGCAGACGGGUGAGUAACAUGUGGGUAUCUUCCCUUUGGUGAAGAAUAACACGAGGAAACUUGUGCUAAUACUUCAUAAGUCUUUACGGAGAAAGCUUUAUGCGCCAAUGGAUGAGCCUGCACUUGAUUAGUUUGUUGGUGGGUAAUGGCCUACCAAGACAGUGAUCAAUAGCUGAUUUGAGAGGAUGAUCAGCCACAUUGGGACUGAGACACGGCCCAAACUCCUACGGGAGGCAGCAGUAGGGAAUCUUGCACAAUGGAGGAAACUCUGAUGCAGCGAUGCCGCGUGAGUGAAGAAGGCCCUUGGGUUGUAAAGCUCUUUCGUCGGGGAAGAAAAUGACUGUACCCGAAUAAGAAGGUCCGGCUAACUUCGUG